AACGAACGCUGGCGGCAUGCCUAACACAUGCAAGUCGAACGAGACCUUCGGGUCUAGUGGCGCACGGGUGCGUAACGCGUGGGAACCUGCCCUUAGGUUCGGAAUAACUCCCCGAAAGGGGUGCUAAUACCGGAUAAUGUCUUCGGACCAAAGAUUUAUCGCCUUUGGAUGGGCCCGCGUUGGAUUAGCUAGUUGGUAGGGUAAAAGCCUACCAAGGCGACGAUCCAUAGCUGGUCUGAGAGGAUGAUCAGCCACACUGGGAAUGAGACACGGCCCAGACUCCGACGGGAGGCAGCAGUGGGGAAUAUUGGACAAUGGGCGAAAGCCUGAUACAGCAAUGCCGCGUGAGUGAUGAAGGCCUUAGGGUUGUAAAGCUCUUUUACCCGGGAUGAUAAUGACAGUACCGGGAGAAUAAGCUCCGGCUAACUCCGUG
rnacentral:rRNA from 1 species